rnacentral:rRNA from 1 species
CCUGGCUCAGAUUGAACGCUGGCGGCAGGCUUAACACAUGCAAGUCGAGCGGGGAAAGGUAGCUUGCUACCUAACCUAGCGGCGGACGGGUGAGUAAUGCUUAGGAAUCUGCCUAUUAGUGGGGGACAACAUUCCGAAAGGAAUGCUAAUACCGCAUACGCCCUACGGGGGAAAGCAGGGGAUCUUCGGACCUUGCGCUAAUAGAUGAGCCUAAGUCAGAUUAGCUAGUUGGUGGGGUAAAGGCCUACCAAGGCGACGAUCUGUAGCGGGUCUGAGAGGAUGAUCCGCCACACUGGGACUGAGACACGGCCCAGACUCCUACGGGAGGCAGCAGUGGGGAAUAUUGGACAAUGGGCGAAAGCCUGAUCCAGCCAUGCCGCGUGUGUGAAGAAGGCCUUUUGGUUGUAAAGCACUUUAAGCGAGGAGGAGGCUACUUGGAUUAAUACUCUAGGAUAGUGGACGUUACUCGCAGAAUAAGCACCGGCUAACUCUGUGCCAGCAGCCGCGGUAAU